UAUUAUCAAAAGUAGAGGGACGAAGAGCCGUUCGUGCUAGCACGAAAAAGGCUUUAUGUAUUUUCGACCCGCCAAACAUGAGAAAGGAGCGAUUUACAAAGUAAAUCAGCGGAAUUCGAAUGUUUGGAGAAUUGAGGGAGCAGCAAAGCUGCGGAGCAAUUCGUAGGUAUUA
rnacentral:sRNA from 10 species